GCUUACGGCCACACUGCCUGGUUCACGCCUGAUCUCGGAAGCUAAGAUAGGUUGGGCCUGGUUAGUACUUGGAUGGGGAGACCGCCUGGGAAUACCAGGUGCUGCAAGCU
rnacentral:rRNA from 1 species